rnacentral:RNase_P_RNA from 1 species
CGCUGUCCCGAGAGGGAGAGAGGAAAGUCCGGGCAACGCAGGGCAUCGUGCUUCCUAACGGGAAGGUAUUCGAAAGGAUAUAGUAGUGUAACAGAAAAUAACCGUUCCGUUUGCGGAACAAGGGUGAAAAGGCGGGGUAAGAGCCCACCGGUAUCCCGGGCAACCGGGGUAGCCGUACGCCUCACGAGUUGCAAGACCAUGUAUACUGGCAAUUAAGGUUAGCCCGACCGAUGCCAGGGGGUAGGUCGCUAGAGCCGUGAAGUGAUUCACGGAGUAGAUAAAUGAUAGAAACCGAAAGGUACAGAACCCGGCUUAUAGAACUGCCU